rnacentral:rRNA from 1 species
ACGUACACUCCUGCGGGAGGCAGCAGUGGGGAAUAUUGGACAAUGGGCGCAAGCCUGAUCCAGCCAUGCCGCGUGAGUGAUGAAGGCCCUAGGGUUGUAAAGCUCUUUCACCGGUGAAGAUAAUGACGGUAACCGGAGAAGAAGCCCCGGCUAACUUCGUGCCAGCAGCCGCGGUAAUACGAAGGGGGCUAGCGUUGUUCGGAUUUACUGGGCGUAAAGCGCACGUAGGCGGACUAUUAAGUCAGGGGUGAAAUCCCGGGGCUCAACCCCGGAACUGCCUUUGAUACUGGUAGUCUUGAGUUCGAGAGAGGUGAGUGGAAUUCCGAGUGUAGAGGUGAAAUUCGUAGAUAUUCGGAGGAACACCAGUGGCGAAGGCGGCUCACUGGCUCGAUACUGACGCUGAGGUGCGAAAGCGUGGGGAGCAAACAGGAUUAGAAACCCUGGUAGUCCCAU